UGGCUCAGGACGAACGCUGGCGGCGUGCCUAAUACAUGCAAGUCGAACGCUUCUUUUUCCACCGGAGCUUGCUCCACCGGAAAAAGAGGAGUGGCGAACGGGUGAGUAACACGUGGGUAACCUGCCCAUCAGAAGGGGAUAACACUUGGAAACAGGUGCUAAUACCGUAUAACAAUCGAAACCGCAUGGUUUUGAUUUGAAAGGCGCUUUCGGGUGUCGCUGAUGGAUGGACCCGCGGUGCAUUAGCUAGUUGGUGAGGUAACGGCUCACCAAGGCCACGAUGCAUAGCCGACCUGAGAGGGUGAUCGGCCACAUUGGGACUGAGACACGGCCCAAACUCCUACGGGAGGCAGCAGUAGGGAAUCUUCGGCAAUGGACGAAAGUCUGACCGAGCAACGCCGCGUGAGUGAAGAAGGUUUUCGGAUCGUAAAACUCUGUUGUUAGAGAAGAACAAGGAUGAGAGUAACUGUUCAUCCCUUGACGGUAUCUAACCAGAAAGCCACGGCUAACUACGUGCCAGCAGCCGCGGUAAUACGUAGGUGGCAAGCGUUGUCCGGAUUUAUUGGGCGUAAAGCGAGCGCAGGCGGUUUCUUAAGUCUGAUGUGAAAGCCCCCGGCUCAACCGGGGAGGGUCAUUGGAAACUGGGAGACUUGAGUGCAGAAGAGGAGAGUGGAAUUCCAUGUGUAGCGGUGAAAUGCGUAGAUAUAUGGAGGAACCCAGUGGCGAAGGCGGCUCUCUGGUCUGUAACUGACGCUGAGGCUCGAAAGCGUGGGGAGCAAACAGGAUUAGAUACCCUGGUAGUCCACGCCGUAAACGAUGAGUGCUAAGUGUUGGAGGGUUUCCGCCCUUCAGUGCUGCAGCUAACGCAUUAAGCACUCCGCUGGGAGUACGACCGCAAGGUUGAAACUCAAAGGAAUUGACGGGGGCCCGCACAAGCGGUGGAGCAUGUGGUNUAAUUCGAAGCAACGCGAAGAACCUUACCAGGUCUUGACAUCCUUUGACCACUCUAGAGAUAGAGCUUCCCCUUCGGGGGCAAAGUGACAGGUGGUGCAUGGUUGUCGUCAGCUCGUGUCGUGAGAUGUUGGGUUAAGUCCCGCAACGAGCGCAACCCUUAUUGUUAGUUGCCAUCAUUCAGUUGGGCACUCUAGCAAGACUGCCGGUGACAAACCGGAGGAAGGUGGGGAUGACGUCAAAUCAUCAUGCCCCUUAUGACCUGGGCUACACACGUGCUACAAUGGGAAGUACAACGAGUCGCGAAGUCGCGAGGCUAAGCUAAUCUCUUAAAGCUUCUCUCAGUUCGGAUUGCAGGCUGCAACUCGCCUGCAUGAAGCCGGAAUCGCUAGUAAUCGCGGAUCAGCACGCCGCGGUGAAUACGUUCCCGGGCCUUGUACACACCGCCCGUCACACCACGAGAGUUUGUAACACCCGAAGUCGGUGAGGUAACCUUUUGGAGCCAGCCGCCUAAGGUGGGAUAGAUGAUUGGGGUGAAGUCGUAACAAGGU
rnacentral:rRNA from 1 species